rnacentral:rRNA from 1 species
UACAGAGGUCUCAAGCGUUGUUCGGAUUCAUUGGGCGUAAAGGGUGCGUAGGUGGUUGAGUAAGUCAGGUGUGAAAGCUCUGGGCUUAACCCAGGAAUUGCAUCUGAUACUGCUCGGCUUGAGUACGGUAGAGGAGGGUGGAAUUCCCAGUGUAGCGGUGAAAUGCGUAGAUAUGUGGAGGAAUACCGAUGGCGAAGGCAGCCCCCUGGGAUAACACUGACGCUCAUGCACGAAAGCGUGGGGAGCAAACAGG